AAAUGUGUCACCUUCACACUUUGUGCUUCUGAACUUGGUAUCUGUCACUCUAGACUUAUCAAGAUGAUCUCACAGAUUCAAUUUCUCUGGCUUCUCAUGUUCUGGAUUCAGGACUCCACCGGGCAGAUCGUGCUGACUCAGACUCCAGAAACCCUCUCAGUGUCUCCUGGUGACAGAGUCACCAUCAACUGCAAAGCCAGUUCCAGUGUUAGUAGCUACAUGGCCUGGUACCAACAGAAAUCAGGACAAGCUCCCAAGCUCCUUAUCCACAAGGCUUCCACCCGCCCCUCUGGGAUCCCAGACCGGUUCAGUGGCAGUGGGUCUGGCACUGAUUUUACAUUCACAAUCAGCCGGGUUGAAGUUGAAGAUGCUGGGGAUUAUUACUGCCAGCAGUAUAGCAGCUGGCCUAUCACAGUGAUACAGACCAAUACAAAAACCUCCCUCUCUGAGUGCACAGUGCUGAGCAUUUCUCACAGCUACAUGUGGACAGUCAGCUUCAGGUUUCAUAACAAACAAGAAACAGGAAGUUAAUGAAAUCACUGUCUG